rnacentral:rRNA from 1 species
AUUGAACGCUGGCGGAAUGCUUUACACAUGCAAGUCGAGCGGCAGCGCGGGGGCAACCCUGGCGGCGAGCGGCGAACGGGUGAGUAACACAUCGGAACGUACCCAGUGGUGGGGGAUAGCCCGGCGAAAGCCGGAUUAAUACCGCAUACGACCUGAGGGGGAAAGUGGGGGACCGCAAGGCCUCACGCCGUUGGAGCGGCCGAUGUUCGAUUAGCUAGUUGGUAGGGUAAAGGCCUACCAAGGCGACGAUCGAUAGCUGGUCUGAGAGGACGACCAGCCACACUGGAACUGAGACACGGUCCAGACUCCUACGGGAGGCAGCAGUAGGGAAUAUUGGACAAUGGGGGGAACCCUGAUCCAGCCAUGCCGCGUGAGGGAAGAAGGUCCUCUGGAUUGUAAACCUCUUUUGGCAGGAACAAACCUGCGCUAUACGCGCAGCUGAGGGUACCUGCAGAAUAAGCACCGGCUAACUCCGUAGCCAGCAGCCGCGGUAAUGUAGU